CCUCCUGAAUGCGAUCAGUGCUUGAUAAAAGAGGUUCCAGAGGGAUCCCCAGACCCUUUUACCAGGUGAGGACACAGCAAGAAGGUCCCAACUAUGAACC